rnacentral:pre_miRNA from 1 species
UGGGGAGCACAGGAUCCUGGGCUGUGUCCCCGGCGCCCUGGGAUCCAGGGCCUGUGCCACUGGGAUCACGCUCUAGGCCAGGUCCCCCA